UACGAAGGGGACUAGCGUUGCUCGGAAUUACUGGGCGUAAAGCGCGCGCAGGCGGUCCUUUAAGUCGGGGGUGAAAGCCCAGAGCUCAACUCUGGAACUGCCUUCGAAACUAGAGGACUUGGGUACGGGAGAGGUGAGUGGAAUUCCGAGUGUAGAGGUGAAAUUCGUAGAUAUUCGGAAGAACACCAGUGGCGAAGGCGGCUCACUGGCCCGUUACCGACGCUCAGGCGCGACAGCGUGGGGAGCAAACAGG
rnacentral:rRNA from 1 species